rnacentral:rRNA from 1 species
GGUUAGUGCAAUGGCAUAAGCCAGCUUGACUGCGAGCGUGACGGCGCGAGCAGGUGCGAAAGCAGGUCAUAGUGAUCCGGUGGUUCUGAAUGGAAGGGCCAUCGCUCAACGGAUAAAAGGUACUCCGGGGAUAACAGGCUGAUACCGCCCAAGAGUUCAUAUCGACGGCGGUGUUUGGCACCUCGAUGUCGGCUCAUCACAUCCUGGGGCUGAAGUAGGUCCCAAGGGUAUGGCUGUUCGCCAUUUAAAGUGGUACGCGAGCUGGGUUUAGAACGUCGUGAGACAGUUCGGUCCCUAUCUGCCGUGGGCGCUGGAGAACUGAGGGGGGCUGCUCCUAGUACGAGAGGACCGGAGUGGACGCAUCACUGGUGUUCGGGUUGUCAUGCCAAUGGCACUGCCCGGUAGCUAAAUGCGGAAGAGAUAAGUGCUGAAAGCAUCUAAGCACGAAACUUGCC